rnacentral:rRNA from 1 species
AUUGAACGCUGGCGGCAGGCCUAACACAUGCAAGUCGAGCGGAGCCGCGGACGGGUGAGUAAUGCCUAGGAAUCUGCCUGGUAGUGGGGGAUAACGUCCGGAAACGGGCGCUAAUACCGCAUACUAUUAGAUGAGCCUAGGUCGGAUUAGCUAGUGGGUGGGGUAAAGGCCUACCAAGGCGACGAUCCGUAACUGGGCUGAGAGGAUGAGCAGUCAAACUGGAACUGAGAGGGGGACCAGGCUCCUACUGGAGGCAGCAGUGGAGGAUAUUGGACGAUGAGCGGAGGCGUGAUCCAGCCAUGCCGCGUGUGUAAAGAAGGUCUUCGGGUUGUAAAGCACUUUAGGUUGGAGGGCGUUACGUGCAGGAUAAACACCGGCUGGCUUCGUGCCAGCAGCCGCGGUAAUUC